rnacentral:rRNA from 1 species
GAUGAACGCUGGCGGCGUGCUUAACACAUGCAAGUCGAACGGGAUCCCAGGGGUGCUUGCACUUUUUGGUGAGCGUGGCGAACGGGUGAGUAACACGUGAGUAACCUGUCCUUUUCUUUGGGAUUAGCAUUCGAAAGGGUGUUUAAUACCUUAUGUUCUGUCUGCCUCGCAUGGGGUGGGUGGGAAAGGCUUUGGCCGGAUUUGGGUGGGCUCGCGGUCUAUCUGCUUGUUGGUGGGGUGAUGGCUUACCAAGGCUUUGACGGGUAGCGGGCCUGAGAGGGUGGUCGGGCACAUUGGGACUGAGAGACGGCCAAGAAUGCUGCGGGAGGCAGCAGUGGGGGAUAGUGCACAAUGGGCGAAAGCCUGAUGCAGCGACGCGGAGUGGGGGAUGGAGGCCUUCGGGGUGUAAACUUCUGUAGAACUGAACAAGGCAUGCCAGUGGGUGUGUGGAGUGUAGGGGUUGAUUAGCGCCGGCUAACUACGUG